rnacentral:rRNA from 1 species
CCUACGGGCGGCAGCAGUGAGGAAUAUUGGUCAAUGGACGCAAGUCUGAACCAGCCAUGCCGCGUGCAGGAUGACGGCUCUAUGAAUUGUAAACUUCUUUUGUAAGAGGAUAAACUCAGAUACGUGAAUCGGGCUGAAGGUACCGUACGAAUAAGGAUCGGCUAACUCCGUGCCAGCAGCCGCGGUAAUACGGAGGAUCCGAGCGUUAUCCGGAUUUAUUGGGUUUAAAGGGUGCGUAGGCGGAAUGUUAAGUUAGAGGUGAAAUGUCGGGGCUCAACCCCGAAACUGCCUCUAAUACUGGUAGACUUGAGAAGAGUAGAGGUAGGCGGAAUGUAUGGUGUAGCGGUGAAAUGCUUAGAGAUCAAGCAGAACACCGAUUGCGAAGGCAGCAUACCAAACUAGAUCUGACGCUGAGGCACGAAAGCGUGGGUAGCAAACAGGAUUAGAUACCCGAGUAGUC